GACGAACGCUGGCGGCGUGCUUAACACAUGCAAGUCGAACGGUGAAGCGCCUUCCUUUUUGGUGGGUGGGGAUGAGUGGCGAACGGGUGAGUAACACGUGAGUAACCUGCCCCUUUCUUUUGGAUAACCGCACUAAAGUGUAGCUAAUACGGGAUAUUCUGGUUCUGUCGCAUGAUGGGUGUGGGAAAGGUAUUGUUUCGGUUGGGGAUGGGCUCGCGGCUUAGUAGCGUGUUGGUGGGGUGAGGGCCUACCAAGGCGGCGACGGGUAGCCGGCCUGAGAGGGUCGACGGUCACACAGGGUCUGCGCCAAGGCCGGGACUGAUACGGGCGGCAGCCGUAGGGGAUAUUGCACAGUGGGCGAUAGCACGAUGCAGGGACGCCGCGUGCGGGAUGGCGGCGUGCGGGUUGUGAACCUCUUUGGCCAGUGAAGCUGGCCUGACUGGUUUGUGGGUGGGUUGACGGUAGCUGGAGAAGAAGCGCCGGCUAACUACGUG
rnacentral:rRNA from 1 species